AUGCACAUUCUAUCAACCUUUCAUCGUGGUCAGCUUCCUGUGGGGUUUAUCCCCCACCCCCACCCCCACUCCCACCCUCUCCGGAAAGUUUGCGGCUGUUCACACCGACUUUCAAAGGUCCAUUGUUUGCUCCCCCGUAAACGUAAUGAAAAGAGAGACGGAAAGAAAGAAAAUCUAGACGUGGUUCCCAGACCCUUUCUUACGGAGAGGAUUUACUCCGGGGGAGUCCGGUUACUCCCGAACCCGAGAGGAGGGAGCCCGGGAGAGGCGGUGCGAGGGGGGAGGGCGGGAGGGUGCUUCGGGGGGCGGGAGGAUGUUUUCCAUUUCGGCAGCAGCAGAUGCCUAAAUGCCAGGCCGCCGGGAGCCGCGGUGGUGCGCGGGGCCGCCGUCGGCGACCUCGCGGUGGCCCCAGCAGGCAGCUGGGGAGGCGGGGCGGGGGGCGGGGGACCCUUUGCUUCUUACCUUCCCCUCCCCCGCUUAGCGUCGGCUACUUCAGGUGCCUACACCGCGGUCCAAAGAGACGGAGCCGAGCUCCUAGCGUCCCCGGGUCCGGAUCUUCUCUCCAUGGCCAGAGAGCCCGGGGAGCCCCGCGCCCGCGCCCGCCGCCACCGCUGCUUUUAUGCAACUGGCAGCCGCAGCCUCAGCCUGGAGGUGAAACACUCUCCUCCCGGGAAUGACGCGCACUUCCCUCCGCCUCCGCCUCCUCCUCCUCCAGCCCCGACACUCGGGGGCAGGGGCCUCGGCUCGCUCGCUCGCUCCCGGAGCAGCCGCUCGGCUUCCUCCGCUCCUUCUCCGCGGGGAGGAAGAGAAGCUCGGCCCUGGCGGCGCGGGCCGGCGGGUCCCCGCGACGACGGGAGGAGGCGGCAGCGCGGGGCAGAGCGGGGUCCCGGGAGUCGCGCUUGUCCCUGGUCGGCGGGCGCCGCGGCUCGCGAGGGUCGCGCUCAGCCUCCGCCGGCCAGACAAGCCGCCCGGCUCUGCUGGGCCGAGGGCUGCGGAUUGGGCGGGCGGGCGGGCGGACGGGACGCAGGAGGCGGGGGCAGAGGAGGGGCCUGCGGCCGGAGGAGGCGGUGGCCGCGCUGGGCUCCUCCCGCCGCCCGGCUCCGCGGGAGCUCGGGACCCGGCGCUGAGCGCGUCCGGCCGCGGCUGCAAGCUCCUGCUGGGCUCGGCGGACACUGA
rnacentral:lncRNA from 1 species